GACCAAAUUUAUAUAAGUUCAUCAUUCAUCAGCUAAAGAAAUGUCUUAAAAUAACUUCUUACUAGUGAAAUUUUAUUAUGGUUGUUCAACUUGUUUGAAGUAUUGGGAAUUGUUAAAAGUUGCGGAGCAGUCGAUAAAACGUGGCCGAUUUUUAAAAUCCAUCCCCAGGUCCCUUGCCGCGGCUGACGUUGAUGGGGACGGUAACGUAGACGUUGCUAUUGGAGCUCCAGGAUUCUCCCACAAAGAAAACAUCAUGGCGGGAAGGGCCUACAUUCUCUACAAAACACUCUCGUUUCGGGUCCUCGGUGGCUUUGCUGGAUGUUAAUCUGGAUGGUAAUGUGGACUUGGCGGUCGGCGCCAGCUCAUACGGAGACUCAGGUCCCUUGGACUAUAACGGCAAAGUUUACAUAUACUUUGGCACGGGAAAAGACAGAAAAUGGACCCAGAAACCAGACAUCAUUCUGACUUGUCAGUCCAAGUACUGUAAUCUUGGUUACUCGCUGACCGCGGUGGAUGUGAAUCAAGACGGGCACCCAGACCUUGUCAUGGGCACCCCUCAUUACAGCCAGGGCAACCUCACCCAGAACGGAAUGGUGGCCAUUCUCCAGUCCAAGGCCAUAAGUUCUGGUACUACCAUCCCUGUGGAAUCUCUGGCAAGGAAGAUAUACGGGGACCAGUCCUAUGGUUGGUUUGGUCAGCGAUUAAGCGGGAAAAAUGGCGUGCUUUUAGUGAAUGAGCCCUACUUUAGAAUUUGCGAAGACCCAUCAUGCCCCGGGUUUUCUGAAACGGACAAACAAGCCGUGGGCAGAUUACACGUGUACAGCUUCGACACGAGCUCCCCAAUGACCAACAUGUCCAUUGCUGGGCGGGACGCCAACGACCUCGCGGGUCAGAGCACUGACUUUGGCGAUCCCUUCGGUAACGGUUCAUUGGUUUUAGCCGUGGGGGUACCCGGUGCUGAUGUGGAGGGGGAAAUUUUCACGUUACCGAACGAAUUGACGCAAGCUGGCAAAGUCAUACUUCUGAAAGUAGAAAAAGGACAACUCACAGAAAUUGCCAACUACGAAAGUGAUCGACGAUACAGUCGGUUUGGAUUCAGAGUUAAUUUUGCCGACGUUAACAGCGACAAAAUCGACGAUUUAUUGAUUGGAAGUCCCUACCGGAACGACGACCCGUCCAAUCUGUUCAGCCUUGUAUUUGAUGGGAAGACUUAUGUGUUCCAUGGCGGAGAGAAGUUUCCGGUCGGAAACGUCACCAAAAGGCAUUGUAAAAAACAAUCGCCAUGUCCUGAUCAUAACGCAAAUAGAACCUAUGCCUCCUUCCUGUCUGAUAAGAACUAUUUUGGAGAUAAUUUCGUCACUUUGCCCUCGUUGAAUGUGACCCAGUUGAUAGUUUCGGCCUCCAUCUGUGCGGAUGUUUUAGAAGACUUUGGAACCUACUCAAGUUUUGUUUACGUUUUUGAUACGGGCAGCAAGCCGGGAGAUGGUUGACAUUUAUUAGACAUCUUGUAUGGUUAGGUUACUUCACUUAGAACUGAGGUUGAGCACAUCAAAUAAUGACCAGCACUGACAGUUACACAAAAUGCACAGUCAAUCUCUGUUACUUUUGUAAAUAUGUCAAUCAUUGAAUAAAAACGGACUC
rnacentral:misc_RNA from 1 species